ACGAACGCUGGCGGCGUGCCUAAUACAUGCAAGUUGAGCGCUGAAGGUUGGUACUUGUACCCACUGGAUGAGCAGCGAACAGGUGAGUAACGCGUGGGGAAUCUGCCUUUGAGCGGGGGACAACAUUUGGAAACGAAUGCUAAUACCGCAUAAAAACUUUAAACACAAGUUUUAAGUUUGAAAGAUGCAAUUGCAUCACUCAAAGAUGAUCCCGCGUUGUAUUAGCUAGUUGGUGAGGUAAAGGCUCACCAAGGCGAUGAUACAUAGCCGACCUGAGAGGGUGAUCGGCCACAUUGGGACUGAGACACGGCCCAAACUCCUACGGGAGGCAGCAGUAGGGAAUCUUCGGCAAUGGACGAAAGUCUGACCGAGCAACGCCGCGUGAGUGAAGAAGGUUUUCGGAUCGUAAAACUCUGUUGGUAGAGAAGAACGUUGGUGAGAGUGGAAAGCUCAUCAAGUGACGGUAACUACCCAGAAAGGGACGGCUAACUACGUG
rnacentral:rRNA from 1 species